CAAGGCUUGACAUGUUCCAGACCGGGCCAGAGAUGGUCUUUCCCCUUUUGGGGCUGGUUCACAGGUGGUGCAUGGUUGUCGUCAGCUCGUGUCGUGAGAUGUUGGGUUAAGUCCCGCAACGAGCGCAACCCUCGUUCCAUGUUGCCAGCGGGUUAUGCCGGGGACUCAUGGGAGACUGCCGGGGUCAACUCGGAGGAAGGUGGGGAUGACGUCAAAUCAUCAUGCCCCUUAUGUCUUGGGCUUCACGCAUGCUACAAUGGCCGGUACAAUGGGUUGCGAUACUGUGAGGUGGAGCUAAUCCCUAAAAGCCGGUCUCAGUUCGGAUUGGGGUCUGCAACUCGACCCCAUGAAGUCGGAGUCGCUAGUAAUCGCAGAUCAGCAACGCUGCGGUGAAUACGUUCCC
rnacentral:rRNA from 1 species